AUGGAAGAAGCAGGCAUGGAGUUCCUUCUGGACGCCGUGGACAGGUUCCCCUUGCUUGAGGAAUUCGCUGACAGCGUUGAGCAGCCAGAUCCAGUUCCUCUGGCGCGGAUGCAAGCGAACGAGCCUAGUUACGCGGGUAGCGCUGUCUCAAAAGAUGAUUCUGGAUGCGGGCAACAGAUUGGCGAAGUUGAGGUGAACGAAAGGCAACCUGCUGCUCGCCGCCGUACGAACACAUCUCCAACUCGAUCUACCCAGUCAACUGACAGGGUGAACCCAGAAGCCCCCGGGUGGACUAAAAGGUUACAGCUAGGGAGCGCGCCACCGGACAGGACACCAUGUCCCAGCCGUAUGAGCGCUCUGGAGGAGUCGAUGCGCAAGUAUGCUGAAGAACCCAGCAAAAAUGUGGUGCGGCCGACACUUGGUCUAACUUUUGAUUCGCUUGGUGAGGCAUACGACUUCUACAAUUUGUAUUCCUGGGAAACCGGUUUCGGCAUUAGAUAUGGAAAGAGCCGGCUGAACGUUGAGAGGACAAAGUGCAUGCAAGAAAUAGUGUGCGGUUGCUCGGGGAAGCCAGAAGCAGAAAAUAGUAGAUCAUGCAGGUGUGAGUGUCCAGCUUUGAUAAGAUUGUUGCGAGCAGCGGACAACAGCUGGUACAUUACAGAACACAGAGAGAACCAUAAUCAUUCAAUGUCAUUGACAAUGGGUGAGAAAGUUCAAUGGCCGUCGCACAAGAACAUUGAUGUGUACACUAAGGAUCUCAUAAAACAGCUACGGGAGAACAAUGUUAACCUUGGCAAGGUGUACAGCAUAAUAGGAAGUUUCUUCGGGUCGGUUGAGAAGGUUCCAUGCACUAAGAGGACCCUGAGGAACAUAUGCGGGAAGAUCAGUCGGGAGCAGGCUGAUGAUGAUGUUAGGAAGACACUUGAAGUGUUCGCUGACAUACAGGCUGGUGACCCUGGUUUCACAUACAGAGUGCUGGCUGAUGAUACAAGCAAAGUGAAGAACCUGAUGUAG
rnacentral:rRNA from 1 species